rnacentral:rRNA from 1 species
GAUGAACGCUAGCGGCAGGCCUAAUACAUGCAAGUCGAACGGUGUCUUCGGACAUAGUGGCGCACGGGUGCGUAACACGUAUGCAACCUACCUUACAUUGGGGGAUAGCCUUUCGAAAGGGAGAUUAAUACAGCAUAAGACAGUAGCUGGGCAUCCAGCAGCUGUUAAAGAUUUAUCGAUGUAAGCUGGGCAUGCGUCCAAUUAGCUAGUUGGUGAGGUAACGGCUCACCAAGGCAAUGAUUGGUAGGUGAACUGAGAGGUCAAUCCCCCACACUGGCACUGGGAUACGGGCCAGACUCCUACGGGAGGCAGCAGUAGGGAAUAUUGGGCAAUGGACGCAAGUCUGACCCAGCCAUGCCGCGUGCAGGAUGAAGGCGUUAUGCGUUGUAAACUGCUUUUAUACAGGAAGAAACGACUCUUGCGAGAGGCAUUGACGGUACUGUAUGAAUAAGCACCGGCUAACUCCGUGCCAGCCGCCGCGGUAACAC